rnacentral:rRNA from 1 species
UAGGAGAGAGCGACGGACAAUAUGAACCUGAUUUAUAACUGUUUCGAUUUAAAUUAACCUACUAUUAAAUCCUAAAGUUAGUUAAUUCUAGUAACAGCAUUCCAGCCUCCCUAUUUUAAGCUAAAUGUCAUUUGGUUAAAAUUUAAAUUGAAAUUUAUUUCUUGACAACCACACUUAAACCAAAAAAAUAGUAAAUAACAUUGAGGAUUGUCAAGUUAGGGGCCAAAAUUCUCUAAGUAGAAUAAAUCACUGCCAUGUAAUUUAGGUUUUAUUUAAUUACCUAGUAAAGACUCAUACCCGGAUUCUAUCCCGGUUUUGUAAAUUAAUUUUAAAAUGUUAUCAACAGAUUACUGAACUCUUUUAACAGAAGUAAAAUCUGUUUUUAGCAACAGAAAAAUAUAGUUUUAUUUAAAAGUA